AACUGGGUCACAGGAGAGGAGAGAGGAAAGCUGUGGAGGACGGUUCUAUAUGUAAUAAAGGGAAUACACUCAUUCGCUCACUCACACUUUCAUUUUCUAGUUCCAGAGGACAUAUUCCUCCCCGACUUCUGAGAAGAAAUACAUUUCGGUUCUCCCUGCCCCUCAAAGCCCUUAAGUCCUUAAAAGCCGUUCUCCAGUCACACUUGUUCAGGAAAGCAGUGCAGUGGAAGGAAGGAAAGCAAUAAGGCUUUACAGUCAGAUAACUUUGGAUUUCAGGCCCAGUCUUGUCACUUAAGAGCAAGGUGACCUGGGAUAAGUCAUUUAACCUUUCCGGACCUCAGGUUGCCCUUCUAUAAACCAGGGGUCAUAAGCUCCGCCUCCAGACGUUCCAUGGGUAGCAGGUGUAUAUGAGGGAGGGUUGUCUGCUGAGGGACCAGGUGCCAUCGGCAUCGCUCUAUUGCCCCAGGAAGCCUUGCUGUGCUAACAGGACUGCUGUCUGAUGUGGCAAUUAAUGUGGCUUGAUUAAGUCAUACGCUUCAUCAGAGGGAGGGGCAGCUUGCAGACAACAACAGAUAACCGGAGAAGAGGGAUCUCAGGGGUCCAGAUUCUUCCAUCAGCCAUAGAAAGGCGUGCCCGGGCCCAGGCACGUUUGGUCUGUGUUCCCAUGAAGAGACCCCUCCUUCCACGAGUUUCCCUUCCUGUAGAGUAAUCUUAGGAAAGUAGCUUGCUUUCUUUUUUUUUUUUAGGGUUUAUUUAUUUAUUUUGAGAGAGAGUGCAAGUGGGGGAGGGGCAGAGAAAGAAAGAAUCGGAAGCAGGCUCUGCGCUGACAGCUCAGACUGAUGCAGGGCUUGAGCCCACAAACCUCGAGAUCAUGACCUGAGCCAGAGUCGGACGCUUAACCGACUGAGGCACCGAGGCGCCCCAGGAAAUAGCUUCAUCAGUGGGCAAUGCCUAGACAGCUUGGACCAGUAGUCUGGGUGCAGGGGGAGGGGGGCAGUGGAGGGGAGGAGGCAGUGCACAGAGAAUACGUUUUCCUGGCCUAAGAAGCCACGGUAGGCUCCAGGCUAGCCCUUCCCUAUCCUCUGGGCUGGGAGACCCUAGGAAGAAGAAGUGACUGUGAUUCUGUCACUGCAUUAGAACCGCACAUGCCCGCAUCUCGAACACUUGGGACUGGAUCCCAGACUGUCUCCCCAAGGAGGAGCGGAGAGACAGGCUGUCUAAUACCAAGUAAAAAAGACGCUCAGGGAUGCUGGAAACAUUCACAAAGCAGAGUUGGUUCUUAGCAGAACCACGGGUUUCAUUUUGGGAUCAAAUAAACAUCUCCCUCCCUGACAAGUGAGUUGAACUAGAAGUCCUUUCUUUCGACUUGUGCGAUAGAGUGACGAGUCUCGUGAGAUCCGGCGACUACAGGCUGGUUCGCAGAAGGAUUUUUAUUUGCUUCUCAGUCUUUGUACGCAGCAGAGGGUCUGUGCGGUCGGUGGGCACCGUGACGUACCUCUGACAAUUCUCCAGGAGGAGGGAGCACCAGUGGCUGAGUAAGGCCCGGGCCACAGUCUCUGUGCCCAGCACCCACAGUCCUGUGGUGAGUUAAGGUAAACGACCGUAUCCACUCUGGAAUAAAAUAACUAAACAGCGAGAUCCAAGCCUUGUUCUGAAAGGAACGAUUUAUUUAAAAAUAAACCUUUGCCUGGGAAGAGAAGCAAAGGCAACCAGCUCACAUUCCCGGAUGCUGACGUCUCGAUAAAAGCCGGUGUCCAAGUGGAGGCUGUGAGGUACGGGAUGGGCUGCCCAGGAAGGUGGUGGGUCUCCUCUCCCAGCAGCCAUCAGGAUAGGGUCAAAGCCUCACCGGCCUGCGAUGAUUAAGUAUGGUUCUAACAGGCCAAUGAACCAAACGCCCGGUCAGUGACCCUGCCUCCCCCCUCCACCCCCCCCCCCCCCCGUUUCUGCCAUUACAAAUUAUGCGGCCAUUAACAUCCUUGUACAUCAGCCUUGGGUGUGUUCACUUCUCUGGGGGUAGAUUCCCAGGAGUGGAAUUGCUGAGUCGAAACUUCAAAUCUUUCAUUGUAAUAGAUGUUGUCACACAGCUUUCUCAAAUGUCCAUAACCAUUUGCAGCUCCAGCAACAAUGCAGGAGACUCCCCGUGGCUCUUCAUCACCGCCAACAAACCCGUUCCAUCUGCAGUCGCCUGCCCCCACCCCCCCCGCCACCCCAUCCGCAGUUCCGCUGCCUGUGGUUUCUGUUACCCGAGAUCAACCGCCCUCUGAAGGCAGAUGACACUUCUGCUGCUAGAAGGUCAGAAGGUCAGCGGUGGACUAACGCUACGUCACUGCGCGUGUGUCACUCACGCCACUUCGUCUCAUCACGCCGGUAUUUUAUCAUCUCCCAUCAUCACAAGAAGGCCGUUUCCAACCUGGAGUUCGUCAAAAGGUGUCCGCCCUUCUGGCACUUUCUGGCUCUAAAGGUCUACGUUGUAACCCAAAGCAUUCUGGCCGAAAACCGUCACCUUCGGUCCAUCCCUGAGACAGUGAAGAGUUCCUGCCCUUGGUAAAAGUGUCACAACCUCAGGACCCGCCUCUGCGGUCAGUUCAUCUUUGUCUUCAGUCACUUUAUAUUUUCCUCGCCUCCUCUUUUUGCAGGGGAGCCCUUACCCUCUCAUUACAUUCCAAGGAAGGAGGGCGGCCUCUGCUCGCAGUCGGCCUGAAGGCUUUCCUCAUUUGUACAGGCAGGGGGACGACCUGGAGCCACCUGUCCAGGCGGGAGGCCAUGAGCCUCCCUCCUCCAGUGCCGAUGGAGGCAGGACAGGCCGAACGUUUCCACCUUGCUUCCACCACCGUGUCUGAUGAGUUGACCAGGACCUCCUUUUGGAAACGUUCCUCCCUGGGAACGACUCUCCGUGGGCUCUCCACGUCCUUCACUGCUUUGCCUUCUCCUCCAAGUACAAGACGGUCUCAUCAUUCAUGGUAGCUGUGUUCCAUAAAGCUGCCGGGAAUACAGAACUGUAGCACCUGGGGAAGUUCAAGUGUAGGUCUCUGCCAGCCCUUGGUCAUAGCAGUUUCAUCAACUGGCCAAUAAAUAACUUUGUUUUAUGUGU